ACUGUUGUUACCUCAGCCACUGGGUCUCAAGUGGCACUGAGCCACAGCAGGUGUUAUCUCAUCACCUUAGUCUGUUAUACAUAUGCUUAUCAUGGGGAGUAGGCACACCACAUGGCCACAGCAGAAGCAAGAGAGAAGUGGCGGAGAUGCUGCACACUUUUCAAUGACCAGAUCUUGCAAGAAGUCACUCACUAUCUUGAGGACAGCACCAAGGAGUAGUAUUCUGAGCAUUUCUCUAUUGGAGUGCAUAACAAUCUGAUGCAUCAGCAAGGGACGACAGAGCAUACAAGUGAUAUAGAAUCCAAGAGUCAUCAAUUUUAAUCAAAGGUCUUUGAGGGGCUCCAAGAAGUGCUCACGAGAAACAGUGGGUAUAUGGCUAGAGACUUGAUAAAGUAUCUGCCCUCCAUGGCACAAGUAUGAAGGGCCUACCUAGAUUGGAAAAGGGGCAGAAGAACCAGAAGAUUCCUAGAAGCAUUGUAGAUCCUAUAACUUUCAAGGUCAUCAAAAACAAGAAGUCUCUAGGAAACUCUCAUAACCUGGAGAAGCCUAAAGAGACAUAGCAAAUAAAUUGAAUGUGAUAUGUUACAUGGACUACUGGGACAGAAAAAGAACAUCAGUUCAAGAUUUGGAUCUUUUAAUAAAACACAUGAAAAAAAGUUAUAACCCACCUACUCGGAAGAAAGAAUAUAAGAAGCCACAUGGUAAAAUGCAUGAAGUUAACAGAUCUUAAAGCCAAUCAAAUAAGAAUAAAAAAUAAAAAAUCUAAAUCAGGCAAAUUUUUGGUUGGUAAGAAGCAAAAUACUUUCUCUACUGGAAAAUUUAGACUUUGAAUGUGUUGUCUAUAUAUUCAGUUUUGUGUUGACUUUAGCUAUUCCUAUUAUGCCCUGAUUUUGGUGUGUGAUCUAUAUUUGUUGCAAAAAUAAUUAUGAGGGAACUUCAAAUAAACAUUAAAUUUACAUCUGCUUGUCCUGAUAGAGGA